rnacentral:rRNA from 1 species
GGAGUUAGCCGGUGCUUCUUCUGCGAGUAACGUCACAGAUGUAAGGUAUUAACUUACACCCUUUCCUCCUCGCUGAAAGUGCUUUACAACCCGAAGGCCUUCUUCACACACGCGGCAUGGCUGCAUCAGGGUUUCCCCCAUUGUGCAAUAUUCCCCACUGCUGCCUCCCGUAGGAGUCUGGGCCGUGUCUCAGUCCCAGUGUGGCUGAUCAUCCUCUCAGACCAGCUAGGGAUCGUCGCCUAGGUGAGCCUUUACCUCACCUACUAGCUAAUCCCACCUGGGCUUAUCCAUCAGCGCAAGGCCCGAAGGUCCCCUGCUUUCCCCCGUAGGGCGUAUGCGGUAUUAGCAGUCGUUUCCAACUGUUAUCCCCCACAAAUGGGCAAAUUCCCAGGCAUUACUCACCCGUCCGCCGCUCGUCAUCUUCAAAAGCAAGCUUUUGAAAUGUUACCGCUCGACUUGCAUGUGUUAGGCCUGCCGCCAGCGUUCAAUCUGAGCAGAANACAACUACUGA